UGAUCAGGGAUCCUAAGAAGGGGACCUUCAACUCGCCUACCUGCACCUGCGGGCAUGAAACGCAGGCCCCGUGAAAUAGGGCGUCAGUACGAAAAAUUACUGAGUAUGUAAGGCAACAGAAUAACUGAAAGCUGAAACAGAACUAAUAAUAUAAUAACUGAAAACAACCGGGAGUCAAAGAAAAUCUGAAGAUAUGCUCAUCUACUGAUACUUACUCAAUUCUCUCAAUAUAGUGAGUAAAAUAGUUGUCUGACCCUAUAAGGCUCGGUAUACAUAUAUAUUUGCUAUGCCGUAAUAGGCUCGCUCAUAAGCGCUCGGCCAUACUAGGCUCUGUAUAUCGACCAACUGGGCUCGCUCAUAGGUGUUUGGCCACAGUAGGAUCGGUAUAUAACUUACCAUCUGAUCAGAGGUUGCCCAAUAGGGGUUGCCCAUCGAUUAUAGCUCGAUGGUAAUGAAAAUACUUUCAAUACUGUACAUAUGUAAACUCUCUGCUCUUUUGUCCGGAAGAAGAAAAUACUCAACUGAAUACGCAGUCCCAAUAAGAAGAAUAUGGUACUUACAAAACUAGGAAAAUAUAAUAUAAUUUGCGAGACUAGCAAAAUAUACGUAAAUUCCGGGAUAUGAAUUUUUCCUUAUGCCUCGUUAUCAAACUUGUGUAAUUACGAUAUCAUGCCAAAAUGAAGGAAAAGCUUAGCCUUAACAUAUCUGGAGUAGGAAAAACUCCGUAUAAUACUCCGUUGGAAAACCUUCGUUGACUGAGCGAAACUUGCCCCUGCUUCUUUAAAAAUUCACAGAUGAAAUUCUUCUGGUUCCUUGAAUUUUUUGGAACGAAUCAUGUUUAUUUUGGCUUGGAAGGACUAAAGCUUUUGUUCCUAUUGUCUUUUGUUUUAAACCAAAGACAGAACGUGUGUAAUUUCCAUAAUAAGGCUUCUGUUUGUUCCUAAUGUCUUUGGUUUGACAGAA
rnacentral:lncRNA from 1 species